UAUAAAUCAUUCUAAUGUAAAGACGCCUUUGUUCAUUUCAGCACUAUUCACAAUAGCAAAGACAUGGAGUCAACCUAAAUGCCCAUCAAUGACAGAGUGGAUAUAAGAAAAUGUCCAUACCAGUAUAAUCUUCUUAAAAUACAGCUAGGAAAAGAUAAUCAGCCUCAAGAUUCUUAACAGUGAGGGGGCUCAGAUGAAUGGCAUUCAGCCAGAAUAAAUUGGUAGAUUGCAAGAAGAGAUAGAAGAAUUAAAACGUAAUCAGGAACUUUUACAAAGCCAGCUGACUGAAAAGGACUCUAUGAUUGAAAAUUUGAAAUCUUCCCAAACAUCUGAAACAAAUGAACAGUCUUUAGGAAUAGCUUCAGCUAGAGAUUCUGAACAAGUUGCAGAAUUAAAACAGGAACUGGAAACUUUAAAGUCUCAGUUAAACUCACAAUCUGUGGAGAUCACCAAACUCCAGACAGAAAAGCAGGAACUGUUACAGAAAACAGAAGCAUUUGCAAAAUUAGUUGAGGUACAAGGAGAGAAUGAGACUGUAAUAGCCACCAAAACUACUGAUAUAGAAGGAAGACUGUCAGCAUUAUUACAAGAGACUAAAGAGUUGAAGAAUGAAAUUUAAGCUCUGUCUGAGGAAAGAACUGCAAUUAAAGAGCAGCUGGAUUCAUCUAAAAAACAGGAUGAUCUCCUUAGUGCUCUUGGCUAAUCAAGAUCAGAAACUACUUUCAUUGCAGAACAAACUCAAGGAUCUUGGUCAUCUGGUUGAGGCAGAGGAUGAACUUGAAUCCAGAGACCAAGAGGAUGAGGAUGAUGAAAGUGAAGAUCCUGGCAAGGACCUCGAUCAUAUCUAGCUUUAAAAUCUCUAGGAACAAUAGAGAAUAUAUUGUAACUUUGAAGAUGGAAUUUAAACUUUGGUUUACCUCCACAGAAAAUAAAGAUUUAGAAACCAAGUGGAAAACAUUCACUAUUGACAUAUUUUUGUAAUGUUGCUACCCAUGUUGAAAACCUUAAAACUAAAUUUAUGUAGAACACACAUAUUUUAUUUAAAUCCAUCUGAACUGUCCCAAAAUAUAAUUUGCAAAGAGCUUCAAACACCAAAAAUAUACAAUUUUAAGGCAUGUGGUGGCAAUACUAUUUGCCUUAGUUCAUUGGUUGUUUACUUUUCAAAAUUUGUGACUUCUAAGUACUAACACAUUUGAUUGAAUGUGUUGAAUUGGAAUUAUUAUUUCUAAAUUCAGCAUUUGAGUUCUUAGCUGAUUAUUUUAUUUUAAAGAAAUUAG